UCAACCUUCUUGGAAGAACCAUCAUGAUCCUGCUCUUUUUUGGAUUGUAAUUCUUCUUCAAUGAUUUUUGAUAAAUUUUGAGAAUUCUCAUUUGUUUUGGACUGGAAAGUCGUCUCUUUGGGUUGAUCUUUACGAAAAAAUCUUCGCUUCUUCUGUGCACGAAAUGAUCCAACUAGUUCGUUGAUGGAAAGCUUAGAAAGAUCUUUCGUCUCCUCAGUGAUAACAACGAUGUACUCAAACUUUUCUGUGACACUAAUUAGAAUCUUUUCCACAACUUGUUCGUCAGAAUUGUAUCAUUAUGAUUUCUCAUUUCAUUAACUAUAUUCAUGACUCUUGUGCAAUAUUCAUCAAUUUUUUCAGAUUCUAUCAUCUUUAAGUUUUGAAAUUCUCUUCUAAGAGUUUGAAGAUUUAUAGUGCGUACCUUUUUGUAACCAUACACCUCAGUUUUCAGAAAAUUCCAAGCUUCCUUUGCAGUCUCACAAGUAGCAAUUUUUGCAAAAUAUAUUCUUGAGACUCUCAUUUGGAUUUUGCUCAAGGCUUUUGCAUCUUAACGAUAUGUAGCCUCAAGAUUUUUCAUCUCUGCUGUUGUAAGAUCACCAUCGUUGUCUGGCUCUUCAAAGCCAUUUGCAACAAUAGUCCACAAACCUUCAACUUUCAAAUGUGUUCUCAUUCUUAUUUUCCAGUAUUAAAAAUCAGUUCAUCAAAAAAUGAAGUAAUAACAAUUGAAGAAUCAACACCUUCAUUUGUUUUGGAUGUCAUAUUUUUUUCUUCACCUAACCCCAGAUUAAGAACGAAAAUCUGCUCUUGAUAUCAAUUUGUAGGAAAUAUGAAAGGAAAAUAAUAUUUUUAGAGAAUGCUCAAGUUUAUUAUAGGCCCCUCAAGGUCAAGGUCACUUAAGAUAAUUAUAAUCAUCAACUACAUCACUAUUUAUACUACUCAAAAUAGAAAACAAAAAGUCUAUCACAAUUUACUAGAUACAUUUACUACAAAAAAAACUAAGAGAUAAUUUUGAAACACUAAACAUUGAUGCCAACAUCCCAAAGGGGUUUCAUUCUUUUUCUUGCUUAAACUACUUAAGCAUUGGUCCAUUUUCAGAUAAUGUCACUUCAUUCCCGGAUUCUUGAUUACGAAGACGCUCCUAACAGUGAGAUACAUGAGGAAAAAUUUCAACUUUUCUCUCUUAGAAGUUUAACACUUUUUUGGCGACCUCAUUGGGACUCUCUGCCUGCAUGGCUUCAAAAUCUUUCUUAUUUAACAGAACUACAUCUUUAUGAUUUUGGAUUUGAAGCUGUGCCUGAAUGGAUAAAAUACAUGUCUUCCCUAGAACGAUUGGGCCUAUACUGGUGUGAAAAGGUGAGUUUUCUUCCCUCCGUUGAAGCCACAAAAUGCCUUGUCAAACUAAAAGAAGUGGAGAUUUACAAUUGCCCUGUAUUGAGUGAAAGAUGCUCUUCUUUGGGUGGAUCUAAUUCUGAAUGGUCCAAGAUUUCUUAUAUAAACCAAAUCAAAGUUGAUGACGAGCAAAUCACAUCCGAGGCUUCUUAUGAAGUGUUACCAUCUCCAACUCCCACAAAAAAAAGAAAAAAAGCGGAGGAAGAAAUAAGGUGAAGAGCAACAACUAGAUGCAGAUUUCCUUCCGUUUUUUCCCCCUUUUGAUGGAUGAUAUUUGGUACAUACGUAACAGAACCAGAAGUGGUCAGUCCAAACACAGACACCACAAGUAAUAAAGUGAUAAGUAGAAUAUUAUUCCCACAAGGACUUGUAAUAGCUAUUAACUAAAUCAAACUAUUAUGACUUAUUCAACUGACUCCAAGAUGUGAUUAUAAAUAAUUCAACUACUACAACAACACUACAAAGUAAGCAAGUAAAAGAAACGACGAGAGAUUCUUAACGAGAUACAAAAUCCUAGAGUAAAAAAAAACACUAUGUGAUUAAGUAUAUUUCUAUCCUAAACCUGAAUUUACUCCCCAAGGCCCAGGUUCAAGAACUUGCGCUAUUUCAGCAUUUUGUAGUGUUCUGCGUUAAGAUGGGUGGCCGAUGGACUGCAUGAGGUGGGUAAGACAUGUAGCUUAACAACUGUGUAACAGUAGC